GUAUAAGAGACAGCAGUCGCCGCGGUAAUACGUAGGGUGCAAGCGUUAAUCGGAAUUACUGGGCGUAAAGCGUGCGCAGGCGGUUUGUUAAGACAGAUGUGAAAUCCCCGGGCUCAACCUGGGAACUGCAUUUGUGACUGGCAGGCUAGAGUAUGGCAGAGGGGGGUGGAAUUCCGCGUGUAGCAGUGAAAUGCGUAGAUAUGCGGAGGAACACCGAUGGCGAAGGCAGGUCACUAAGAUUUAACUGACGCUCAUGCACGAAAGCGUGGGGAGCAAACAGGAUUAGAUACCCGUGUAGUCCCUGUCUCUUAUAC
rnacentral:rRNA from 1 species